UACGUAGGGUGCGAGCGUUAAUCGGAAUUACUGGGCGUAAAGCGUGCGCAGGCGGUCUGUUAAGACAGAUGUGAAAUCCCCGGGCUUAACCUGGGAACUGCAUUUGUGACUGGCAGGCUAGAGUAUGGCAGAGGGGGGUAGAAUUCCACGUGUAGCAGUGAAAUGCGUAGAGAUGUGGAGGAAUACCGAUGGCGAAGGCAGCCCCCUGGGCCAAUACUGACGCUCAUGCAUGAAAGCGUGGGGAGCAAACAGG
rnacentral:rRNA from 1 species